GAUGAACGCUGGCGGCGUGCUUAACACAUGCAAGUCGAACGAUGAAGCCCAGCUUGCUGGGUGGAUUAGUGGCGAACGGGUGAGUAACACGUGAGUAACCUGCCCUUGACUCUGGGAUAAGCCUGGGAAACUGGGUCUAAUACUGGAUAUGACUUCUCAUCGCAUGGUGGGGGGUGGAAAGAUUUAUUGGUCUUGGAUGGACUCGCGGCCUAUCAGCUUGUUGGUGAGGUAAUGGCUCACCAAGGCGACGACGGGUAGCCGGCCUGAGAGGGUGACCGGCCACACUGGGACUGAGACACGGCCCAGACUCCUACGGGAGGCAGCAGUGGGGAAUAUUGCACAAUGGGCGCAAGCCUGAUGCAGCGACGCCGCGUGAGGGAUGACGGCCUUCGGGUGGUAAACCUCUUUCAGUAGGGAAGAAGCGAGAGUGACGGUACCUGCAGAAGAAGCGCCGGCUAACUACGU
rnacentral:rRNA from 1 species